rnacentral:rRNA from 1 species
UACGUAGGGGGGCAAGCGUUGUCCGGAUUUAUUGGGCGUAAAGAGCGUGUAGGCGGCCUGAAAGGUCAGCUGUGAAAACUCGAGGCUCAACCUCGAGACGUCGGUUGAAACCAUCUGGCUAGAGUCCGGAAGAGGAGUGUGGAAUUCCCGGUGUAGCGGUGAAAUGCGCAGAUAUCGGGAAGAACACCCGUGGCGAAGGCGGCUCUCUGGGACGGUACUGACGCUGAGACGCGAAAGCGUGGGGAGCGAACAGG